UACGAAGGGGGCUAGCGUUGUUCGGAAUUACUGGGCGUAAAGCGCGCGCAGGCGGCUAUCCAAGUCAGAGGUGAAAUCCUGGAGCUCAACUCCAGAACUGCCUUUGAUACUGGAGAGCUUGAGUCCGGGAGAGGUGAGUGGAACUGCGAGUGUAGAGGUGAAAUUCGUAGAUAUUCGCAAGAACACCAGUGGCGAAGGCGGCUCACUGGCCCGGUACUGACGCUGAGGUGCGAAAGCGUGGGGAGCAAACAGG
rnacentral:rRNA from 1 species